rnacentral:rRNA from 1 species
CAUGCAAGUCGAACGGUUCCUUCGGGAACAGUGGCAGACGGGUGAGUAACGCGUGGGAACCUACCCAUUGGCUCGGAAUAACCCAGGGAAACUUGGGCUAAUACCGGAUACGCCCCGGACUUGAUCCGGGGGAAAGAUUUAUCGCCGAUGGAUGGGCCCGCGUCGGAUUAGCUAGUUGGUGGGGUAAUGGCCUACCAAGGCAACGAUCCGUAGCUGGUCUGAGAGGAUGAUCAGCCACACUGGGACUGAGACACGGCCCAGACUCCUACGGGAGGCAGCAGUGGGGAAUAUUGGACAAUGGGCGCAAGCCUGAUCCAGCCAUGCCGCGUGAGUGAAGAAGGCCUUAGGGUUGUAAAGCUCUUUCAGCGGGGAAGAUAAUGACGGUACCCGCAGAAGAAGCCCCGGCUAACUUCGUGCCAGCAGCCGCGGUAAUACGAAGGGGGCUAGCGUUGUUCGGAAUUACUGGGCGUAAAGCGCGCGUAGGCGGAUUUGUAAGUCAGGGGUGAAAUGCCAGGGCUUAACCUUGGAACUGCCUUUGAUACUGCGAGUCUGGAGUACGGGAGAGGUGAGUGGAAUUCCGAGUGUAGAGGUGAAAUUCGUAGAUAUUCGGAGGAACACCAGAAGCGAANGCGGCUCACUGGCCCGAUACUGACGCUGA